CAGCGCGGACGUGUUUUUUUGCUCCGUCUCCGUUAAAUUGUGGAUUUUCAACACAUUUCGCGUGCGCCUUAAAUAUAAAAUAAAUCUAAUGUUAAUUUAACAACAUUAAACCAAAAGUGCACAGAGGCUUACCUGAAAAUCACGUAAAAAGUGCCGCGUGUUAUGUGAAUGCCAAAAAGGGGAGCUCUCUUGCUCUUCGGAUUUGGCUCUCUUGGGGGAGGAUUGUCAGCAAAGCUCCGCUUUUGCCGCCUUGCCCCCGGCCUCACGUUCCACGUUCCACCUUGCCCCCCCCUCCCUGUUUCACCCAUAGCUCUCUCUCGCACAGUAACCCUCACGUUUACGGGACAGGAAUUUUAAUCAAGCCACAGAAUGCAGUCAAUGGGCGCUGGACGCUUGGCCAAAACAACGCCGUACUAAUUGUGGCCCCGGACCACGUCCAGGAAUCGUUCUUUGGACAAGGACCAGGACCAUGGCGUCAUUUGUAUGCAUCCGGAGAACACAAACAACAACAACAACACAACCAGCAACCUCAUCACUAGAAGCGGAAUUUUCGAGCAGCGGCUAAACGGAAACCCGAAGCCGCAGAAAAUCCCUCAGAAAAAAAAGGGAGGCAAAUUGGAGGAGGAGUAGAACUAACCAGAAAACCAGUCAGCCAGGCAUCCAAAAAUUGGAGAGCCACUGAAAUAGUGCACCCGAAAAUCAAAGAGGCAGCUACAAAGGAGCCAGGAUGAUGAGUGCCGGCGGAACCUACAUUUCCACGGCCAGUGUGGAGGUGCCACAAGCGUUGCAAGAUGGAGAGAAGUUUAUUCGAUGGGACGAUGUGAGUAGAAUGUUAA
rnacentral:misc_RNA from 1 species